AGCGUUUACGUGUUUUAGUAUCUGGAUUUGUGAUUUUUUUCUUUGUUGCGUUUCUCUCUUUUUCUUUGGGUUUUCUUGGUCUGUUCGGUGGCGGUUUCUCGUUGGUGAGGCUUUGUGCGUUCAUUAGGGCUUCCUUCUUGGGGGUGUCCCUAUUUUUGUUGCAUGGUUCUUGCACGUCUCAUGCAUGAAUUCUGGCUCUGGAAAUUGGUUCAAUUCCCGUUGACGCGGUUCGUGUUCUCCCCAUAUAUUGCAGUCUGCUUUGAUGAUUUGUGUGAGUCAAGAAGGAAAAAGAUUUAAGCACUACAACGGCGAGUUGAGCGUCUGAAAGGAUUUGUUCCAUGGGCGGUGUGUUUUCCAAAUGAAGUUCAUGUGCUGGAAUUGCCGUGGAAUGGGAAACCCCGCGAAAAUUAGGGAGCUCAAACAAUUAAUCAGGGCACAUAACCCUGAUAUUAUUUUCCUUAGCGAAACAAAAAUGAAUGGGAAUGACUUUCGAAGGGUUCAAAACUAAUGCAGGCUGCAAAAUGGCUUAACUGUGAAUUCUGAGGGUCGGAGUGGGGGUCUUGCGCUGAUGUGGAAGGAAGGGAUAAAUGUUUCCAUUCAGAGCUUCUCCAAACACCACAUUGACUCCAUUGUUAAUUUGGAGAACAACAAGAUUAUGAGAGUUACGGGUUUCUAUGGGCAUGCUAAUCCGAGCUUGAGACACAGCUCUUGGGAUAUUUUGCGUCGUGUCGGGGAUUCGGUUAGGGAAGAUUGGGUUGUAGGGGGAUUUUAACUCAAUUCUGAAUGGUACUGAGAAAGAGGGUGGCCGUAGGGGGGUGCAGGCACAAAUGAAUGACUUUAAAGCUGUCAUGGACGACUUGGCGUUAGUGGAUAUCAAACCCGACAGUGGAUGGUUUACUUGGGUUAAUAAUAGGAGUGGGGGCGGUCUGGUUAAAGAAAGGAUUGAUAGAUUCCUUAGCUCGGUGUCCUUGGUUGAAAACUUCCCCUUUAUAGCUACUAAAAUGGUGAGGCAAUCCCAGUCUGAUCAUGACGCGAUUCUCCUGGAUUUAUGGGGACGUCGACCCAAAGAUCACCCUAAUGACCAUAGGCUGAGCUUCAAAUUUGAUGUGUGUUGGGCUGAUGACAGGGAAGCAAAAAAGAUAAUCGGUAGUGCGUGGAACAGGGAUGAUAUAGAUUAUGGGGAAAAGAUUGAAAGGGUUAGGUCGGUGCUUGGCUAUUGGCAACGCAAGAAAUAUGGUAACAUGAAGAGCGAAAUUCGAAGGCUGGAGUAAAAUAUUGACCGGAUUAUUGAUUCUAAAAGCAGAGGGGACAGUGUGAAAAAUUUAAAAGAAUCUCGUAAAAGGCUUGAUUUUCUCUAUGCUAGGGAAGAAAGUUACUGGGCACAAAGGUCACGAUCAAAAUGGCUUAGGGAGGGCGAUCGAAACACUAGAUAUUUCCAUUCGAAAGCUACUGGACGGCUAAAGAAGAAAUUUAUUGAGAAGCUUAAAGAUAUGGAUGGUAACUGGGUGACAAGCAGCAAGGACAUAAGUCAGGUGGCGAAAAACUAUUUUUUGGGCUUGUUUAGGUCUAACGGUCAAAGGGUUGAUUUACACGAGGUGGGCUAUAUUCAGGAAUGUGUGACCAGGGAGACAAAUGAGUGGCUUACGAGGGACUAUACAGAGCAUGAGGUCCUUCAGGCCAUCAAGCAGAUGAAUCUGAAUAAAGCUCCUGGGAUUGACGCUCUCUCGGGAAAUUUCUUCAAACAGCAUUGGGAGAUCGUGGAACGCGAUACCUUAAUUUCUGUCUGGAUGUCCUUAAUGGGAACAAAAAUGUUUCUAACCUUAAUGAGACUGUGAUCAUUUUAAUUCCUAAAAUUAGAGACCCUUGUGAGUUGACUAAUUUUCGCCCUAUAAGUUUAUGCAGGUUUGUUUAUAAGAUUGUCGCAAAGUUCUAUGCCAAUCGGUUAAAAAUUAUUCUGCCUAGCUGUAUCAGCCAAAAUCAAAGUGCUUUCGUGCCGGGAAGGAUGAUUCACGACAAUAUUCUGAUUGCACACGAGCUCCUUCACUAUCUUCAAAGCUCUAAAAAUGGACCUAACACAGGGUUCGUGGUUAAGCUCGACAUGAGCAAAGCGUAUGACCGCGUGGAGUGGGAUUUCAUCGAAACAAUUAUGCAAAAAAUGGGAUUUGACAUGAAGUGGAUCGAAAAUAUUAUGAAAUGCGUUCGUUCGGUUAAAUAUAUGGUUAAAUGCAAUAAUAUUUUAUCCGACAUUAUUAUUUUCGAGAGGGGACUUCGUCAAGGGGACCCCCUCUCUCCCUAUUUGUUUUUGUUCUGCAUGGAAGCGUUCUCGAGAAUGCUGAUCUAAGCUCAGGAUAAUAAUUGUUUAAGUGGCAUCCGGGCCAGUAUAAAUGGUCUGAGGAUAAAUCAUUUAUUCUUUGCGGACGACGCGCUUCUCUUCGUGAGAAAUAAAAAAAGUGAUGUUGAAAUGUUGGUCCAUUUGUUUCAAUCUUUUUCUAACAUUUCUGGACAAGAGAUCAAUUGUGAAAAAUCAAUGAUUCUCUUUAGUCCUAACACUCCUAGGGUUGUUCGAAAUAAUUUUAGUGAUCUGUUGGGCGUGACGGUGGUGGAAAAUUUGAACAGCUACCUUGGUCUCCCCAUCCCGAUAGGUACGAAGAAAAAAGAGGCUUUUAAUGUUAUUAAUAACAGUUUAUCUUGUAGGAUCACCAGUUGGACAAAGAGGCUGCUCUCCUUUGGUGGUAAAGAAGUGUUCACUAAAGUCGUUCUUCAAUCUAUACCAACAUAUGCGCUGCCGAUUUUCUUAGCCCCCAAAGGAGUGAUCGAGGAUAUCCAAGCUCAACUAAGUAAAAUGUGGUGGGCUGGAAAAGAUAAAGGUAGAUUCUAGACAAUGCUACCUUGGAAGACCUUGUGUAAACCGAAGGGCAUGGGAGGGCUUGGAAUCAAAGAUGUUAGAUUGUUCAACUUGGCUCUUUUGGGGCGUCAAGUUUGGAGGCUUAUAAAAAAUAAAGAUUCUUUAUGUUUUAAAGUGUUGUCUUUGAAAUAUUUUCCCGAUGGCAAUAUUUUUAAAGCCAAAAAAGUGGACAAAGCGUCUUUUACCUGGUCAAGCAUUGCGGCAGCGGCGAAAGCUCUCAAAGACGGCUUUGGGUGCCAGGUUAGAAAUGGCGAUAUGAUUUAUAUCCAGACUGAUAACUGGGGAAUGGAGGAUCUCAAUGGGGAUGCCUUUAGAGAGGAAUGUCUCAACCCAAAUGAAAUGAGUGUGAAAGACCUAUGGCUUACGGAUGGGAAGAGUUGGAAUGUGGAGAAAGUUUACAAGGUGUAUGGGCAAGAUUGGGGUGAUAAGAUUUGCAACGUGCCUAUCGGAGAUGAGGAACAGGGAGAUAGAUUGAUUUGGUUUCACGACCCGCAUGGGUGUUUCACUACGAAGUCAGCUUACUCAUGGCUACUCUUGAAAGAAAUGGGGUACGGACCACACAGAAUUGUUUGGAAAGCUCUCUGGAAACUUGAUACUUUACUGAAGAUCUGGGUUUUCUCCUGGCGUGUGGGGCACGAGAUUCUCCCGACAAAUGUCAAAAUUGCCUCUAUUAGAAAUGGCUUUGCUAAAGGAUGCCAAAUGUGCGGAGCUGAAGCCGAAACUCUUCUUCAUGCGCUGAAGGAUUGCCCAACAUCACGUGAGGUUCUUUCGUUGGCAGGGUGGUCCGAGAGAAUGGUCUCGAAGAAGUACGACUACUGUAUUGAUUGGCUUGAGGAUAUGAUGAGGGUUCUCGAUAAGAAAGCUAUGGCAGACCUUAUGGUUUUACUAUGGAAUUGCUGGAACAAUAGAAAUAAUUUCAUUUUCAGGGGAAAAGAAGAGGAGGCUACGGUCAUUUGGGAGAGGGUUAGAGCUUUAAGUGAAGACUUUCGCAUUUGUAACCUGUUAAAGGAGCCACUAUUAUCGUCUAAUAUUGAGGGUAAGAAAUGGAAAAAACCUCCGAAGGGAUUUGUUAAAGUCAACUUCGACGCUACUGUGGGGAUAAACAGUGUGGGGUACGGGGCGAUUGUGAGGGAUGAUGAUGGUUUCGUGUUGGGCGGUGGAAGGGGAUUUAUUGAACCACGAUUGUCGGUGCUUGAAGCUGAAUGUGUGGCGUUCGAAAAGAGCAUCCAGCUGGCGACCAAGCUGAAUAUUAAGGGAGAUGUGAUUUUUAAAACGGAUAAUGCGGCUUUGGUUAACAAAUUUAGGAAUAUUGGUACGGACAUCAUUGUUCUUGGCGCGCGCAUCAAAAAUUGCACUGCUGCUUUCGAAAGCAUCAAUUCUGCCGAUUUAAUUUGGACUGCUAGGGUCGGUAAUAAAGUAGCAGAUUUUAUAUGUACUAAAAUAUGUAGAGAGAAAAUGACGUGGUUUUUUUAGAUGGAUUAUCCUAUUGAAAUCCACAAUGAUGUAAUUACUGAUGUUACGUAAUAUAGUGUUUUGACCCUUUGUGGUCGUUUUUUGCUCAAAAAAAAAGAAUGUCGACUGGUAGCGAAAAUGGACAAAAUAUAUCGCGGGAAGGGUUGGGAAGGCUAAAAAGCAAGCGCAAAAGACAUAGAGGACCCUAUGGCGAUAGUUCGGCUGAAAGUCCUGCUAGAGUGGUUAAGAGAAAACUCCUAGAACAUGUCUCACCUUUAAAGGUGGUGGCUGGUGACCAGCCCCGCCAAGAGCCAUGAAAAUUCUUUGCUGGAACUGUCGUGGGGUGGGGAACCCUGCGACAGUUUUGGAAUUUCGGCAACUUCUUGUUGCUAAUGUCCCUGAUAUCAUUUUCCUGUGUGAAACUAAGAUUAAUUCUAACAGGUUCCAGCGUAUCCGUUCCAUAUGCAGAAUGGAGGGUUGCCUCGCAGUGGACUCCGCAGGAAAGAGUGGGGGGUUGGCAUUACUUUGGCGGGAUGGUCUAGAUGUGUCGGUUCAAAAUUAUUCUAAUUUUCAUAUUGACUCGUUGGUUCGGCUGGAGAACGAGGAUGUCCUGAGAUUUAUCGGUUUUUACGGCCAGACUGCUUCUAAAUCGAGACAACAGGCCUGGGAUAUUUUGAGGAGAGUGCAUCAUAAGGUUAAUGAAGGAUGGAUUGUUGGGGGUGAUUUUAAUGCUAUUCUGAAUCUCUCUGAAAAGGAAGGAGGCCGUAGUAAACCCAAGGUGUUAAUGGAGGAAUUUUGUAAUAUCCUGGAGGAGUUAAAGCUCACCGAUAUCAAGCCUUGCAAUGGAUAGUUUACUUGGACAAACAAAUGGGAAGGUGAUCGGCUUGUCAAAGAAAGGCUGGAUAGAUUUGUUGCGUCAGAUGUGAUUCUGGAUAAGUUCCCUUUCUUAGCUUCCUAUGUCGUUCGCCAGUCCAGGUCCGAUCAUGAGGCUAUCCUGAUUGAUACGGAAGGUAGUAAGCCUAAUAGGGAGAGGACGGGUCACAAGGCAUGGUUCAGAUAUGAUACGUGUUGGGCGGGGGAGCAGGAGCUUAAAGACUUAAUUUCGAGCAUUUAGGAGAAGGAGGAGAGCAACAUGUUGGCGAAAAUGGACAUGACUCGUGAUAAGUUGGGCCCUUGGCAGUUUAGUCGCUUUCGAAACUUGAAAUAUAAAAUAAAAGGGCUGGAGAAGGAGACUAGUAGACUUAUGGAUGGCCGAACGGAUGAUCGAACCGCGUGUCUGCUCAAACAAGCUCGUGGUAAGCUUGGCCACCUUUAUGAUGUCGAGGAAAGUACUGGGCGCUUAGAGCCCGAUCCUAGUGGCUGAGGGAGGGGGAUAGAAACACGCGCUAUUUCCAUGUUCGUGCUUCGGGACGUAGGAGGAAAAAUAAAAAUUCGAGACUUAAAGAUGAACAAGGGAAUUGGCAUGAUAAUGAGGAUGAGAUAUGUGGUAUUGCCUGGAAUUAUUUUCAUUCUUUGUUUAAGACUUCGAUAAACCUGGGUGAUGCCAGCGACUUCCAGCACAUCCCUAAAUGCAUUGAUAUGGACACCAAUCCGUUUCUGAAUGAUGCCUAUACGGAUGAGGAGAUUUUGAAGGCGUUUAAACAGAUGGAUCCUCGUAAGGCGCCUGGAAUUAAUGGGCCUUCGGGUAGUUUUUUCAAGGAUCAUUGGAAUACAGUGGGGAAACAUGUCCUGAGUUUAUGCCAUGAUAUUCUUAAGGGUGAUAAGAGUGUUGAUUAUGUUAAUGAAACCCUGAUCAUUUUAAUCUCUAAAAUCAAAAAUCCUGAUGAGAUGGCUAACUUUCGUCCUAUUAGUCUGUGCAGGUUUGUCUAUAAAAUGGUUGCUAAGACGCUUGCUAACCGGCUCAAGAAGGUCCUUCCAAAGUGCAUAAGCCAAAAUCAAAGUGCUUUUGUCCCCAACUGCAUGAUUCACGAUAACAUUCUCAUAGCCCACGAGCUUGUGCACUAUUUUAGGAGCUCAAAAAAUGGCCCGAACAAAGGAUGUGUGAUCAAAUUGGACAUGAGCAAGGCGUACGACCGGGUGGAAUGGAGUCUUAUUGAGAAUGCGAUGGAAAAAAUGUGUUUCUCUUCUGUUUGGGUUAAAAAAAUCAUGGAGUGUGUUUGUACUUUAAAUAUAGGGUUAAGUGUAAUAUGAUUCAGUCGGAUGUUAUUAUUCCCGAGAGGGGUCUUCGUCAAGGGGACCCUCUUUCCCCCUACUUGUUCCUAUUCUGUAUGGAUGCCCUGUCUCGUAUGCUAAUCCAUGCGCAAGAGACUAAUAUGAUUAAGGGCAUUCGUGCUAGUUUCAAUGGUCCUCGGAUUAAUCAUUUAUUCUUUGCUGACGAUGCCCUUUUAUUUGUUAGGAAUAAACACAGUGAAGUGAUGGAGUUUUCGAAAAUACUGAAGUCCUUUGAGCGUAUAUCGGGUCAGCGCAUCAAUUUCGACAAAUCCAUGGUGUAUUUUAGCCUGAACACCAUUGCUUCUCAGCUGGAAAGCUUGAGCAGCUUACUUAGGAUGAGGGUGGUUCCCAACCUUGAUGCUUAUUUGGGGCUGCCUAUUCCGGUGGGUAAAAAGAAGCGCGAUGCUUUCAAGAGUAUCCUGGAUCAAACUGCUAACAGGAUUAAUAGUUGGUCAAAGCGACUUUUGUCUUAUGGGGGUAAGGAAAUUUUCAUUAAAUCGGUCCUUCAAGCUGUCCCUACGUAUGCGCUCUCGGUUUUCUUUGCUCCUAAUGGUGUGUUGGAGGAACUUCAAUCUAUGAUCAGUCGGGUUUGGUGGAGUGGUCAAGAUAAUAAUCGGUGCUGGCAUAUGCUUUCUUGGGACCGCAUGUGUUUUCCUAAAGGGAUGGGGGGUCUUGGUUUUAGGGAUCUUUGUCGCUUUAAUGUGGCCUUGCUAGGCAGACAAGUGUGGCGCCUUAUGAGCUGUAGAGAUACACUUUGCUUUCGGGUCCUAAGUGCCAAGUAUUUCCCGGAUGGGGACGUCCUUCACCCUAAGCGUGUUGAAAAACCCUCCUUCACUUGGCAUAGCAUUGCUAAAGCUGCCAGUACGUUGUAUGACGAUUUUGGGUGGAACGUGGGUCGGGGUGAUAAGAUUGAUAUUUGGUGAGAUAACUAGGGCUUCAAUGACCUGUCGGGUGCCUCUAUUAAGCUUAGCAGGAGGGAGGUCCAUGAGGAGACAGUGAGUGACUUGCUUAAUAACGAGAAAGACGGGUGGAAUGUGAGAAGGGUUCUUGAGAUUUACGGUGAAGACUUGGGGACCAAGUUUGCAAAAUCCCCAUUAUUCAUAAUGGCCCUGACGAUGACCGUAUCUGGUACCACAACUCCCUUGGAUAUUAUUCGACCAAGUCAGCCUACUCCUGGUUGACUUUGAAGCAUGUGGGCCUUGGUCCUCACCGUUUUAUUUGGAAGAUAGCGUGGAAACUCCAGACUCUCCCGAAGAUUAAGAUUUCUUGCUGGCGUUUGGGGCACGAUAUCCUUCCUACGUACGAUAAUAUUUCCGGUAUUCGUAGGGAGCAGAGCAGCAACUAUCCGAGAUGUGGGCUGGCUAGAGAGAACCUGCUUCAUGCUAUGAGAGACUGCCCUAGUGCUAAAGCGGUUCUGGUUCAUGGAGGCCUGAAUAAUAACUUGCUUGAGGGUAGAUAUGGCCGUUGUGUGGAUUGGCUUGAGGAUGUGGCUCGUACACUUGAUCUGAAAGCUUUCUCUGACUUUAUUACGGUGCUCUGGAAUAUUUGGAAUAGUAGGAAUAAUAAAGUUUUUCAGGAUGUGGAGGAGGAAGCUAGAGUGACGUGAGAAAGGGCUGCUGUGUUGAGCAGGGAUUUUCGAAUUUUUAAUUUCAUGGAUAAGCUGCUGCUUCCUAAACCGAUUAUGGAGAAAAGCUGGAAGAAGCCGGAUCAGGGGACUGUUAAAAUUAAUUUUGAUGCGUCUUCAAACGGUAGGCAGUUGAGUUUUGGGCUGGUGGCGAGGGAUCACGAUGGUUUUGUCCUUGGCGGGCGGGCUGGUAUGGUUGCGCAGAAUGUUCAAGCCGAAUGGGCUGAGUUUCAUGCGCUGGUUGAGAGCUUCAAAUUUGUGCGCUCCAGGAACUGGCUUAAGCUGGAAUUUGAAACCGAUUGUGCCAGCUUGGUGAAUAGGCUUAAUAGGCGGUGGGCUCACUUAUCCACUAUGGGCUACAGCAUUCGGGAGAACAUUAAAAUUUUGGAUUUUUGUGAUAGUUAUCAUUUUACUUGAGCCCCGCGUAGUUGUAAUAAAGUUGCUGAUUCUCUUUGUAAGUGGGCUCAGGCUUUGAAUUGUAUUAAGGAUUUUAAGUGAUGUUAUUUUAAGUGAUGCAAUAAAUUGAGGUCGACCUUCGGGUGUUUUUUUCAAAAAAAAAAGAAUGUCGCCUGGUAGCACAUUGACCAAGUUUUUUAGCUCUUUAUGGGGGAGGUGAUAUUGAGCGAACAGGGGUUGUCCAGGGCACUGCCCACGCCCAUCUCAUGCCCAGACGUCGGUGCCCCCAUCACCGGUUAGGUUCCCGGCGGUGCUCCGGCGAGCUUUCCCGGCGGUGCUCCGGUGAGCCAUCCCAGAAUAUAGAAAACGAUGCUACGAGUCAUCCCGGUCCCUCCCCCAGGUCUCUCCCCUUUUGAAUCAUCACGGUCCCUCCCCUUUCGGAACAAGAGCCUCCGGCACCUUGGGCCCUUGGUCGCGCUGGAGCAUCAGGCACCAUUGGUAACCUAGGACGUCGAUGGUCCCGGAGCAUCAGCACCGUACUGCUUGGACGUGCUGGAGCCUUGGACGCCAUCGGUAACCUAGGACGUCAGUGGUGCGAGAGCCUCGCGAGCAUCUAAACCUUGGUGCCUUGGAUGUUGCGGGAGCCUCGGACACCUCGGACACCAUCAGGAAACUAGGCUCUUGGUUGUGCAGGAGCCUUGGUGACCAUCAGCACCUUGGUGCUCGGAUGUGCGGGAGCCUUGGGCACCAUCGGCACCUUGGUGCAAGGAUGUGCGAGAGCCUCGGCACCAUUGGCAACCUAGGACGUUGGUCGUACGGGAGCCUCGGGCACCAUCGGCAACCUAGGCCCUUGGUCGUACGGGAGCCUCGGGCACCAUCGGCAACCUAGGCCCUUGGUCGUGCGAGAGCCUCGGCACCAUCCGCACCCUAGGCCCUUGGUCGUGCGGGAGCCUCGGACACCCACGGCAACCUAGGCCCUUGGUCGUACGGGAGCCUCGGACACCAUCGGCACCUUGGCAAUCAGAUGUACGGGAGCCUCGGACACCAUCCGCAAACUAGGCCCUUGGAUGUGCGGAAGCCUCGGACACCAUCGGCAACCUAGGCACCUGGUCGUGCGGGAGUCUCGGCACCAUCAGCACCUAGGCCCCUGGUCAUGCGGGAGCCUCGGCACCAUCAGCAACCUAGGCCCCUGGUCGUGCGGGAGCCUCGGGCACCAUCGUGCUUAGAUGUACGGGAGCCUCGGACACCAUCGGCAACUUAGGCCCUUGGUCGUGCGGGAGCCUCGGGCACCAUCGGUAACCUAGGCCCUUGGUCAUGCGGGAGCCUCGGGCACCAUCGGCACCUUGCUGCCUCGGAUGUGCAGGAGCCUCGAGCAGCAUUGGCACUUUGGUGCUUGGAUGUGUGGGAGCCUCGGACACCAUAGGCAACCUAGGACGUUGGAUGUGCGGAUGCCUCGAGCAGCAGGGGCACCCUGGUGCCUCGGAUGUGCGGGCUAAAGAAAAGUGUCCCUGUUUCAGGCAUACGAAUGUUUCCUAGUAGCAGAUUGACGAUGUUUUUUUACCUCUUUAAGGGGUAGAGAUCCGCUGGCCCCCGACGUGGCCCCCCUGAGCCCGAGGUGGGGUGAGUCCGCAGCCCCCACGGGGGUCAGAUAGUCCCGCAAUGACUCACCAACGGUGGUGGGUCGAUCGCCGGCGCUAGUGGCUGGGGUGAUGAUUUUCCGGCCAGUCAAGCCCGUGCCCAUAGAAAUGUAGCCAACGACUCCAGGACUAGGUUCCCUAUAUCGGGCAAAGAUCUCUUGGGGGUGGCUUAUGCAUUUCUAUGGGCUCGAGCUUGGGUUGGCCAUUCUCCCCCGUCAUGUUAGGGACGUCUUGUGCCUCCCAAGUCAGCGACCCAUCGGCGCCUUGGCCUUGCCAAGGCCUUGCCUGCAUUCGAAGCUGCCCGUGACCCCAAUACCAAGUCGCUUUGACGGCAACGGUUCACUGGGGGGUGUAAGUUGAGUUUGUAGGCUCGGUCUUGGCUCGACCAAGUCCCAGUGGGAUUUUGUCUCUCGUAGUUCUCGUGCCAAGCGUUUGUGGUGUGCCCUAGUUUCAUUGUUCCUUCCGUUCCCCUAUCAAUACAUUGGUUGGGUGGGUUGUUGGCCGGUGUGCAUGGGUGCUACUACUAGUAUGCAAUGGGCAUAUGAGUGGUGUUUUGGUUGUGUGUAUUGGCAGGCUCUAUGCUACCCGCAUCGAACUGUCAGGCCACACUCCUCUUCAUUGACUCCCCUUGUUCUAAUUGAACCCAAGGGGUGUGAUCGGGAUCCUGUGUUGCGUACCUAAGCCAAAUGGAAUUAUGGAUGUGUUACAGUCCUUUCUCCAUCUCGUGCCCUUUGGGGUGUGUGGUGGACCACAAUUGUGCCCUGUGUCCCGAGUGUGACCCCUUAAAUCGGUGUGGCCUCGUCGGUGCAUUGGUGCUCGUUCGUGCUUUCGGAUGCAGAAAAUAUUUUUGAGAGUAGGGUUUAGGCCCUUGUCUCUCGAUGCCUAUGCAUUUUGUUUCUUGACACGGACGAUGCUCGUGCUCUGUUAUGAGCUCUUCGUUGCUCACGCAGCAUGUUGUGAGCCAUGCAGUGCCGACGUCGCGGAGGAAUACUACCUGGUUGAUCCUGCCAGUAGUCAUAUGCUUGUCUCAAAGAUUAAGCCAUGCAUGUGUAAGUAUGAACAAAUUCAGACUGUGAAACUGCGAAUGGCUCAUUAAAUCAGUUAUAGUUUGUUUGAUGGUAUUUGCUACUCGGAUAACCGUAGUAAUUCUAGAGCUAAUACGUGCAACAAACCCCGACUUCUGGAAGGGAUGCAUUUAUUAGAUAAAAGGUCGACGUGGACUUUGCCCGUUGCUCUGAUGAUUCAUGAUAACUCGACGGAUCAUUCGAUGU
rnacentral:lncRNA from 1 species